rnacentral:rRNA from 1 species
GUACGGUGCGAGCGUUGUCCGGAAUUAUUGGGCGUAAAGAGCUCGUAGGCGGUGUGUCGCGUCGGCCGUGAAAACCUGCAGCUUAACUGUGGGCUUGCGGUCGAUACGGGCAUCACUGGAGUUCGGCAGGGGAGACUGGAAUUCCUGGUGUAGCGGUGAAAUGCGCAGAUAUCAGGAGGAACACCGGUGGCGAAGGCGGGUCUCUGGGCCGAUACUGACGCUGAGGAGCGAAAGCGUGGGGAGCAAACAGGAUUAGAUACCCUGGUAGUCCACGCCGUAAACGUUGGGCGCUAGGUGUGGGGACCAUUCCACGGUUUCUGUGCCGUAGCUAACGCAUUAAGCGCCCCGCCUGGGGAGUACGGCCGCAAGGCUA